rnacentral:rRNA from 1 species
CCUACGGGAGGCAGCAGUGAGGAAUAUUGGUCAAUGGCCGGAAGGCUGAACCAGCCAUGCCGCGUGAAGGUCAGUGCCCUAUGGGCGUUAAACUUCUUUUGUGCGGGAGCAAUAAUGGUCACGUGUGGCCAGACGAGAGUACCGUACGAAUAAGCAUCGGCUAACUUCGUGCCAGCAGCCGCGGUAAUACGGGGGAUGCAAGCGUUAUCCGGAUUUAUUGGGUUUAAAGGGUGCGUAGGCUGUGAGGUAAGUCAGCGGUGAAAUGCCCCCGCUCAACGGGGUGAAGUGCCAUUGAUACUGCCGUGCUGGAAUGCGGAUGCCGUGGGAGGAAUGUGUGGUGUAGCGGUGAAAUGCAUAGAUAUCACACAGAACACCGAUUGCGAAGGCAUCUCACGAAUCCGCGAUUGACGCUGAGGCACGAAGGCCAGGGGAGCGAAAGGGAUUAGAUACCCUUGUAGUC